rnacentral:rRNA from 1 species
GACGAACCGUGCGAACGUUGUUCGGAUUCACUGGGCUUAAAGGGCGCGUAGGCGGGCGACCAAGUCAGGGGUGAAAUCUUUCGGCCCAACCGGAAAAGUGCCCCUGAUACUGGCCGUCUCGAGGGGGGUAGGGGCAUGCGGAACUUCCGGUGGAGCGGUGAAAUGCGUAGAUAUCGGAAGGAACGCCGGUGGCGAAAGCGGUUACCUGGGCUUGUUCUGACGCUGAGGCACAAAAGCUGGGGGAGCAAACGGG